rnacentral:lncRNA from 1 species
UUUUUUUAUUUUUAUUUUUUAAAGAUUUUAUUUAUUUAUUCAUAGAGACAGAGAGGCAGAGACACAGGCAGAGGGAGAAGCAGGCUCCAUGCAGAGAGCCUGACGUGGGACUCGAUCCAGGGUCUCCAGGAUCACGCCCUGGGCUGCAGGAGGCGCUAAACCGCUGCGCCACCCGGGCUACCCCCUUGUAGCCUUUUAAAUAUUUGUUUCUCUCUAGUCUUUGGGGUUUGUAUUGCUUAGGAAGGCCUUACUAAGAUGUAUAAAAACAAAUUUCUGUAUUUUCUUUUAGCACUUUAAUUCUUCUGAAAUUUUUGCAUAUGAAAAUGAAGAGCCUAUAUUUCUCUAUUUGAAAUGCCAUCUCUGUAAUAAAUGUAUACAUGGGGUUAUUUCUGAACUUCAGUUUGCUCCACUAUUUGUCCAGUUCUAUUUCAGCACUACUUUGUAGUUCUGAUGUGUAUUUGGGUAAAUUCUCAUUCUUUUAAAAAAAACAUUUUGGUUAAUCUUGCACUUACAUUUUUCCAGAUAAAAAGAAAAUCUUGAUUUCCACUAAAAAUUGUUAGAAUUUGUACUUAAAAGGCAACACAUUUAUAAUCUGAGUAGAAUCUUUACAAUGCUUAGCCUACUCAUGUAGGGACACAGUGUAUCUUUUCACUUAGUUCUGAUCUUCUGUAACAUCCAUAAAUGAUGUUUUAUGAUUUUUUAAUAUAGGCUUUAUUUCUUGAUAGAUUUCUAGAAGAUUUCACCAUUGUUGCUAAUGUGAAUGAGUUUACAUUUAAUAGUUGAUUAUAUCUAGUUUAUUUAUUUUUGUUUAUAUCGUUUAUAAAAAAUCUUCUAUAUGUUGCUGAGCUUACCAUCUUCCUGACAAUAUUGUCUUACUGAUAUUCCGGGUAGAUAAUAUCAUUUAUCUUAAUUUCUUCCUAAUUUCAUACCUUAGUUAUUUUGAUUAUUAUUACACUGGACUCAAAAUUCUCAGAACAAUGUUGAAUUGUAUGAAUGAAGGAAAUAGCCUGGAUCAUGACAUUAAGUGUUUUAUUUCUGGUUGAUACCCUUCAUCCAGUUAAACUUUUGUUCCUUGCUUAAUAUAAGUUGUAUUUCUUUUUUAAAGAUUUUAUUUAUUUAUUCAUGAGAAAGAGACAGAGAGGCAGAAACACAGGUGGAGGGAGAAGCAGGCUCCAUGCAGGGAGCCUGACAUGGGACUCGAUCCCGGGUCUCCAGGAUCAGGCCCUGGGCUGAAGGCAGCGUUAAACCGCCGAGCCACCCGGCCUGCCCUAUGAAUUGUAUUUCUUAAAUAAAUCAGUAAUAAAUCCUAAUUUUUCAAGUGCUUUUUCAGUAACAAUUAAAAUCAUAGUUUUUCUCUACUAAUGUAGAAAAUUUUCACUAAGGUUGAGUAUUCUUGUAUUGGUGGGAUUAACCCGAUUUGGUUAUGACAUUAUUUUCUAAAUGCACUGCUGGCUUCAUAAUUUCCUUAGGUUUUUCACCGGAGUAUUCAUAAGUGAGACUGAGAUUUUUUUUUAUUUUCAUUAUCCUUGUUUAGAUUCUGUUAUGGUUAUGCUCCCUUCAUAGUUGGGACAUACUCAAUUCUUCUCUAUGCUUUGUUCCUGGUGACUUUGGUCAAGGAUAUACAGGAUAUUCUUUCAUGAUUAUCAGUUUAUUAAGGUUUUCUAACUACAGCCAAUUUUUGAAAAUCUGUAUUUUCCUAGAAAAUUAUCCAAAUAAAUUUUCAAGAUUAUUAGUAUAAAGCUACUUGAGACUCACUUCUAAUUUUGGGAGUCCCUCAUAUCUGAAAUAUGUUCCUUUGUUUCCAUUAUUGUUUUCUUUCCUUCUUUAAAUUUGCUAAGUGUCUAUUUAUUGUUCUUUUCAAACAGCAGUUAUCAAUUUUAUAUUUUAUUUAAUUAAUAUCUGCUUUUAUUUUUAAUCCCUCUCAAGUUUAUUUUGGGAGAUUUUAUUUUUUCUGCUUCUCUGCUGUUUCAGUUUUCUUUUUUAUCCUUCCUGCCAUGUGUGUAUCCUUUAAGGGUGUACUAACCCUCAGUGAGUUUAUCCAUAUAACACAGCAACAAAUGAAGCCUUUUACCAUUAUUAUGUAACUGGCUACAAACUGUAUUAAUUUGGAGUCAGAGUGUGUUCCAAUUCCCCACCUCCUACUUAUGUGAUCUUGGCCAAAUGUGAGCAGUUUCUUCAUCUGUAAAAACAGAAAUAAUAAUACAGAUUAAGUUUGAAACUCUUUGCAAAUCAUUUAGCAUAGAAACUGGCCCCUAUAAUAACUCAAUAGAUGUCUGGCAAGACAAAACACCUUAGCUGCCCUAUUUCUAAAAAUAAGGGGAUUGAGAUGACUAAUGAUUUUAUUAGUUCAUCCACCAAUCAACUGCUCAUCAAGCCACCUGCUAACCCACAACCACAGUUACUAAGCCCUCCCCUUGAACUAAGUAUUCAGAAUGUCAGGAGCACCAAGAUGAAUAAUGAUACAAUCCCUACCUUCCAGAAGCUCAGAGUUGGGGAGGUGGCAUGACUGCUAAAUAGCUAAUUAUAAUAUAAUGUGAUAAGUAGUCUAAUAAGGGCUGUGUAUAUUCAAAGGCUUUGAGAAGUAUGGCAAAAUCAAAGAUCUAGAUUGGACACCUAAUUCAGUUAAUACUUACUAGCUGUGAAUCUUCAGGCAAUUAACUUUGGUACUUUGUUUCUCUAUCUGCAAAAAGGAAGAGUCAUACUGUUCUGGUAGGUUAAGGAUUAAGUAAGAAAAUUAAUACAAAGUGCUUAUUACAGUGUCAGACUCAUGAACUCACCACAUGACGAUUAUUAAUACUAAUAUGACAAGAGGCUAUGGAAGUUAAAGAAAGCCAAUUUACUGUACUUCAGGGGAAUUUCCCAAAUGUGUUUAAAAACAAGACGUGCGGCAAGGUAAUAAGGAUGGGAAAAAAACAGGGUAAAAGGGGAAUCGAGGUAGGUGAUAUCCCUGGAGGGCAGAUAAUUCUAAUUUCUCUGCUAAAUUAAAUCCGAACCAUGUAGUUUCUUUUUCUUUUAUUUAUUAAGUAGGCUCCAUGCCCAACGUGGGGCUGGAACUCACCACCCUGAGAUCACCGGUCGCAUUCUCUACCAACUGAGUCAGCCAAGCGCCCCGCAAUGUAUUUUCAAUGGAGUGACUGGAAGAAUGAAUACAUAUUAAGCAAUACGGUUGCAGAAAAGGAUUUGGGCCAAACUAUUGAAAGUGAACACUUUACACUAAAAGGAACCUUGGAGCAGUCUUUGGACUACUGACCUGUGUUUAUACUGGCUCCCACAACUUACCUGUUUGGUCUUAGCAAAUUACGAACCCCUUGAAUGGCCUCACCUACAAACCAGGGACAACACCUACCUUAUAAAAUUAUUGUGAGAAUUAAGUACCAAGCAAUUACCCAAGAGCCUGGCACUAAUAAGCAUUCAAUACUGAGAGCGGGUGCAGCUGCUAACUUCCUCUCUGGGUCUUUCUCCAUACCUGUGCGUAACAGGGUCAGAACACACACUUCCUCCAAUGUUCCAACAAACACUGAAAAAUUGCACUAGGCCUGCCAAGGACGAAGAAAGGCCCCGCCCGGCCCGCGCCACACAGGUCACCUACGCAAACCGCAGUCCUGGAGCCUCCACCUGCGUCGCUGAGGCAUGGAAGGCGCGACGGAUGCCAGGCCAUUAGAGAGACAGGGCCUCGGUACGCCGGGAGUGAGACCGAGCCGAACUUCAGGAGCACCGGCCCGUACCACCAUCCGAUCUCUCCAGAGGCGAAGCCC